UAAAGGAUUAAUGAAAUUUGCUGAAAAUAGAAAUCUCACUGUAUCUAUUAUUGGGAUUGGAUGACAUGAUACCUUGAUAGGUGUGGCACGAUUUCUUGUAGUACGGUGAGGGUCUUAGUCAUGGGUUCGUCGCACGCUUAAACCCUGCCAUACAAGGACGUUGGCGCGUGCGCAUGGUGGAUGAUGCAUUGGGUUGGCCGGCUCAGUUGCUUUGUGCGUCUUACUACGCUUCGUUAUCAUUUCAUCGAUCUCUCCAACACAUCGGAUUCCGCAUCAGCAUCUGCGUUGGGCCAGGUCAUGUAAUUUUGAGUUGGCAAGUGGGCCCCACGCGAGGAGACAUCACCAUCUAUCGCUCUCAGGUGUAGCCCACCACACAAGAACACUCCAACUGGUGGUGUUCUUUCUUGUCAUUGGUCAUGUGGGGUCCACUCUGACAUUAUAUAGAUCAAAAUCCUCGGUGUCCACUUAUGUAUCACUCAACGUACACAUGUGACCUACCAGAUGAGUGGACCAGAUUGAACUUCGGACCAGGGUAUGCAUGUCCUUGAUCACACACGCUUUAUGAGUGGCCCUGAUUUGUACACGCAUGACAUUCAGCACGUGUCUCAUAAAUAGCCUCUUGUUUGGUAGAGGCAUGAGAAUGAGUUCAUCUUAUUUAAUUAACA